rnacentral:rRNA from 1 species
UCAAGUGAAUAAGCGCACAUGGUGAAUGCCUUGGCGAUAAGAGGCGAUGAAGGGCGUAGUAAUCUGCGAAAAGCUUUGGUGAGUCGAUAACAGGCUAUGAACCAGAGAUUCCCGAAUGGGGCAACCCAACCAGCGUAAGCUGGUUAUCCUGCACUGAAUACAUAGGUGUCAGGAAGCGAACCCGGAGAACUGAAACAUCUAAGUACCCGGAGGAAAAGAAAUCAACCGAGAUUUCCCAAGUAGCGGCGAGCGAACGGGAAUCAGCCUGCAAGUGAUAAUAAUCGUAUUAGUGGAAUCAACUGGGAAGUUGAGCGAUACAGGGUGAUAGCCCCGUACACGAAAAUACGGUUAUGGUACUAGGCUUGCGACAAGUAGGGCGGGGCACGAGAAACCUUGUCUGAACAUGGGGGGACCAUCCUCCAAGGCUAAAUACUACUUAUCGACCGAUAGUGAACCAGUACCGUGAGGGAAAGGCGAAAAGAACCCCGUUUAGGGGAGUGAAAUAGAACCUGAAACCGUGUGCGUACAAGCAGUAGGAGCAGACUUGUUCUGUGACUGCGUACCUUUUGUAUAAUGGGUCAGCGACUUAAUUUAUGUAGCGAGAUUAACCGAAUAGGGGAGUCGAAGGGAAACCGAGUCUUAAUAGGGCGAAUAGUUGCAUGGAUUAGACCCGAAACCUGGCGAUCUAUCCAUGGGCAGGUUGAAGGUGGGGUAACACCUACUGGAGGACCGAACUCACGUAUGUUGAAAAAUGCGGAGAUGACCUGUGGAUCGGAGUGAAAGGCUAAUCAAGCCAGGAGAUAGCUGGUUCUCCUCGAAAGCUAUUUAGGUAGCGCCUCGUGUAUCACUCUUGGGGGUAGAGCACUGUUACGGCUAGGGGGUCAUCCCGACUUACCAACCCGUUACAAACUCCGAAUACCAAGAAGUGCAAUCACGGGAGACACACGGUGGGUGAUAACGUCCAUCGUGAAAAGGGAAACAACCCAGACCAUCAGCUAAGGUCCCAAAAUUAUCACUCAGUGGAAAACGAAGUGGAAAGGCAUAGACAGCUAGGAGGUUGGCUUAGAAGCAGCCAUCCUUUAAAGAAAGCGUAAUAGCUCACUAGUCGAGUCGGUCUGCGCGGAAGAUUUACCGGGGCUUAAGUGAUAUACCGAAGCUAUGGACGCCAUUUAUGGCGUGGUAGAGGAGCGUUCUGUAAGCGGAUGAAGCUAACCUGUAAGGGUUGGUGGACGUAUCAGAAGUGCGAAUGCUGACAUGAGUAACGAUAAAGGGGGUGAGAGGCCCCCUCGCCGAAAACCCAAGGUUUCCUGCUCAACGUUAAUCGGAGCAGGGUGAGUCGGCCCCUAAGGCGAGGCAGAAAUGCGUAGUCGAUGGGAAACAGGUUAAUAUUCCUGUACCUCUUGUUACUGCGAUGGGAUGACGGAGAAGGUUAGAUCAGCUGGCGAUUGGUAGUGCCAGUUUAAGCGUGUAGAUGUGUGGCUUAGGUAAAUCCGGGCUGCUUUAACAUUGAGGCGUGAUGACGAGUCCUCUUUUGGACGAAGUGAUUGAUACCCUGCUUCCAGGAAAAGUCUCUAAGCUUCAGGUAACAAGGGACCGUACCCCAAACCGACACAGGUGGGUGGGAUGAGAAUUCUAAGGCGCUUGAGAGAACUCUGGUGAAGGAACUAGGCAAAAUAGCACCGUAACUUCGGGAGAAGGUGUGCCUUUUAGGUGAAGCGACUUGCUCGUGGAGCUCAAAAAGGUUGCAGUGAAAUGGUGGCUGCGACUGUUUAUUAAAAACACAGCACUCUGCAAACUCGCAAGAGGACGUAUAGGGUGUGACGCCUGCCCGGUGCCGGAAGGUUAAUUGAUGGGGUUAUCUUCGGAGAAGCUCUUGAUCGAAGCCCCGGUAAACGGCGGCCGUAACUAUAACGGUCCUAAGGUAGCGAAAUUCCUUGUCGGGUAAGUUCCGACCUGCACGAAUGGCGUAACGAUGGCCACACUGUCUCCACCCGAGACUCAGUGAAAUUGAAAUUGCGGUUAAGAUGCCGUAUACCCGCGGCUAGACGGAAAGACCCCGUGAACCUUUACUAUAGCUUUGCACUGAACUUUGAAUCUAUCUGUGUAGGAUAGGUGGGAGGCGUUGAAACCGAGUCGCUAGAUUUGGUGGAGCCAUCCUUGAAAUACCACCCUGGUAUAUUUGGAGUUCUAACCUAGGUCCGUAAGCCGGAUCGGGGACAGUGUAUGGUGGGUAGUUUGACUGGGGCGGUCUCCUCCCAAAGAGUAACGGAGGAGCGCGAAGGUACCCUCAGCGCGGUCGGACAUCGCGCAAUGAGUGCAAAAGCAUAAGGGUGCUUGACUGCGAGACAGACACGUCGAGCAGGUGCGAAAGCAGGCUUUAGUGAUCCGGUGGUUCUGUAUGGAAGGGCCAUCGCUCAACGGAUAAAAGGUACGCCGGGGAUAACAGGCUGAUACCGCCCAAGAGUUCAUAUCGACGGCGGUGUUUGGCACCUCGAUGUCGGCUCAUCACAUCCUGGGGCUGUAGCCGGUCCCAAGGGUAUGGCUGUUCGCCAUUUAAAGUGGUACGCGAGCUGGGUUUAGAACGUCGUGAGACAGUUUGGUCCCUAUCUGCCGUGGGCGCUGGAGACUUGAGAGGAGCUUCUCCUAGUACGAGAGGACCGGAGUGGACGUACCUCUGGUGUUCGGGUUGUCAUGCCAAUGGCAUUGCCCGGUAGCUAUGUACGGACGGGAUAACCGCUGAAAGCAUCUAAGCGGGAAGCCCACCUCAAGAUAAGGUCUCCCUAGACAUUUAAUGUCUCUAAAGGGCCGUUGAAGACUACAACGUUGAUAGGCUAGGUGUGGAAGCGUGGUAACACGUGAAGCUAACUAGUACUAAUUACCCGUGAGACUUGACCAU